CACGUAGGGUGCGAGCGUUGUCCGGAAUUAUUGGGCGUAAAGAGCUCGUAGGCGGUGUGUCGCGUCGGCCGUGAAAACCUGCAGCUUAACUGUGGGCGUGCGGUCGAUACGGGCAUCACUGGAGUUCGGCAGGGGAGACUGGAAUUCCUGGUGUAGCGGUGAAAUGCGCAGAUAUCAGGAGGAACACCGGUGGCGAAGGCGGGUUUCUGGGCCGAUACUGACGCUGAGGAGCGAAAGCGUGGGGAGCGAACAGG
rnacentral:rRNA from 1 species